AUAGGAAGAUGAACUAACUUAAGCACUCAUAUGUGAGAUUCCCAACUAAGAAAAGAAACUGUUGACCAUCAUGCAAGUCAGAAAUACUUAAACAAAAAUAACAAACUAAGAAUAUCCUGAAAUACUAAGCUACUUGAAAGAAAAUCAGACUUAAAUGAAAACCGGAGAUUAAAUAUUUGAGUAUCAUUAUAUUCACUUCCAUUCCAAGGAUUCGAAGGUGUACCUGGAUAUUGAAACAAAGCAAAAAGGAAUGAGAAGUUCAACAAGCAAACAAAUGUGAGCAAAUCAGCAGCUCAAACAACAAUAUACAGCUUUUUAGACCAAUCUUAAACCCAGAAAACCAGAAGUGUUUCAAAAACUUUGAGGUUCUUACUAGAAGAGGGAAACCAAGGAACAAUUCUAAACCAUUUUUAACCAAAUAAUGCAGAAACUUUGAGUAUUUUUUAGGGUCUGGAUUUCUGAUGUUUUUUAGAACUUUUUAGGCAGAAGAUGAUACUGAAUCUGUCUGUGUGAGUGAGGGAAUAUUUUUCUUUUAUAGAGUGCACAAAAAGGCAUCAAAAGAGGAAUAUUCUAACCUAAAAAUUCUAAAAAUCAGAAUAGUACAACAUCUUUUACAGGUGUCUGUCAUUUUCCUUAUCGAAUACUAGCAUUUUAGGCUAAGGAUGAGGACAUCUGUGAAAAGUCUAGAACAUUCUGAUAUUUAGCCUUUGCAAAAGUCUAAUUUUACCCUUUCAUUUGCUAAAUAUUUCAGUUCAACCAAUUCAGUCCUAAUAUUCAGAUUAUUUGAUUUACUCAUUAGCCCCUUCUAGAAACUUCUAGGUAAUUCUAGACUUGGAACCCAUCCCCCUAAUUUAGUUUUCAAUUGACCCUCUUUGUUAUUACUUUUUCAAUUCUUAAACCAUUCAAAGCUUAAAAUCAAACUGACUAAAACAAAACAGCCUAGCUAGAACAAAAUUCCUAAUUGAACCUAAGCUAAUGACUGAAUCAGGGCAUUUAACUAAUUGAAAAUGAACCUGAAUUCCACAACAAUAAACAAAAGAGAAGAAGAGAAAAAGAAAUAACAUGAAAACAACAAUAAAAAACAGAAGCAGUAAUGAAUAAUUCAAUUAUCCUAAAUUCGAUUAAAUUAGCAACUCAUACAAUUAAACUAAUUAACUAGUAAUUAAACUAAUUAGGUUAUUAUUCAAACAAACAGUCUUGAAAGGCAUUUAAAGCUAAACCUAAUAAUUUGGAUUCUAACUAAGCAUUUGAUUAGUCAAAUGGCCUUAAUUAAAAUAUAAUGGCUAAGCACAUGCUAGUCAGAUAGAGGAAGAAAGAAAAUACAGAAGAAAAAAGAAAGAGGAAAAAGGAUAACGGGAUACCUAACACAAUCAAUAGGGACGACUGGCUUGAAAAGACUCCGGCAAAGCAACAAUCUUCGAAAUAGACCAAAACUAAUGCUAAUCAAUCGUUCUCGCUGAGAACAAUCAAUUAGCGUAGGUUUCGACCAAAUCGAGUUUUGAAAGCUUCGGGAAAAAUCAAAAGAGGACGGGCUAAGGUUUUCUAUUUGUGGUUUUGGAUCUAGAUUUGGGGGAAUUCGGUGGGGUUUUGGGUCAAAUUGGUGGUGGAAUGAUGAAGAUGGUGAGGUGAGGAGUAUAUAUGGUGAAUUUGGGUUAGUUUAGACGAACUAGGAUUUAGAGUCUGAUUUUAGAUCCAAGAUUUGAGGAUUUGGGUAGGGAUUUUGGGGAAGAGGUUUGUGGAUUUGGAAAGGGGAAGGGAAGGAGAUUAUGGAGUGUUAAUUUGAGGGUGUUUGGAGCACCGGAACCGUCGUGAGGCGAUUUCCGUUGGGUGGUUGAUGGCGGAGGUUGCGGAGGAAAUUAGGGCGGCUAGGGUUCUUAGGGUUUGGGUGUUAGAGACGAAGUG
rnacentral:lncRNA from 1 species